UUUCCGUAGGUGAACCUGCGGAAGGAUCAUUAACGAGUUAGGGUCUGCUAGGCCCGACCUCCCAACCCUUUGUUUACUGAACCUUUGUUGCCUCGGUGGGUCCGUCUUACGAUCGCCGGGGGAUCGCCGCGAGGCGCCCACUUGCCAGCGCCCACCGAUAGUCCAACCUUUAAAACCCUUUGUGAAUCGUGUCUUAUGUCUAAAUUUAUGAUUAAAAAAUCAAAACAAAACUUUCAACAACGGAUCUCUUGGUUCUG
rnacentral:misc_RNA from 1 species